rnacentral:rRNA from 1 species
AGCAGCCGCGGUAAUUCCAGCUCCAAUAGCGUAUAUUAAAGUUGUUGCAGUUAAAAAGCUCGUAGUUGAAUUUCGGGACCAAUAUGUCGGUCGUGCUUCGGUACGUACUUGCAUUAUUGGUUUCUCCCUUCUGAAGAACCAUGAUGUCAUUAAUUUGGUGUCUUGGGGAAUCAGGACUGUUACUUUGAAAAAAUUAGAGUGUUUAAAGCAGGCUCACGCUUGAAUACAUUAGCAUGGAAUAAUGAAAUAGGACGUUCGAUCCUAUUUUGUUGGUUUCUAGGAUUGACGUAAUGAUUAAUAGGGAUAGUUGGGGGCAUUAGUAUUCAAUUGUCAGAGGUGAAAUUCUUGGAUUUAU